GCAUUUGGAGUUCCCAGGCCAAGGAUCAGACCUGAGCUGCAAUUGCAACCUACCCCUUUAACCCACUGGGCUGGGGAUCAAACCUGUGUCUGGGUGCUGCAGAGAUACACCAUAGCGAGAAUUCUAUUGUUAGAUUUUCCAUAGUUAACUUUCUUUAAAAGUGUUGUUCAUGUUAUGGAAUUAGCUUAUAUAGACUUCUGGGCACUAAAUUUGUGAAUAGGAUCCUUUUAAACUGAACCAUUGAUAUAGAUUUGGUUAUGCACAAACCUAAGAUAGGAGUCUUUGGUUGAUUUUUAUAGGGUAAGAUUCUGUUUCUCCUUAUUCCACCUCAGACAACUUUCUGAAAAUACACCAUUUGCUUUUAACUAAGUUUCCAUUAUAGUGUAAUAGUGUUUAUCAUGAGGGUCACAGUUCCUCAGAAGGCCAAAUAGUGUAAAAUGUCACAGAAGAGUAAACGAGGGUCUAAAAAGUGUCCACAGAUAUUGGCAAUUUAGAUCAUCCAUGUAGUUGUAAUGCUGUGUUAUCUGAUAUAAAAGAAGAAUCUUUACUUGCUCCCUGGUUGAGUAACAAACCACAAUUAUAUGUGUUUCAUGUCACUUUGAACUUUAAUGAAAAAGUAUUAAGAUUCAGAGUUUGCUAUUUCAGUGUUCUGUACACAGUACAUUUUAGAACCCUUAUUAAACAGAAAAACAUCAGUACUUAGAUACAGGGCAUGGGUAAAUCAGAGCAGUAGUAACACUGUUACCAAAAAUGAUGGCAGAAGGAGCUGACUAAACUAAAAUACAUAGGCAGAUGGAAGCAUACUUUCCAAAUUUUUAAAAACAAAUUUACACACUAUUUAAUGAGACUAGGUUAAUUGUCAAUGAGAACAAGAAUCCAGUCUGCCUUUAAUUUCUUUUUUUAGUAACUGAAACUCAGAAUAAAUAUGUUCCAGGUAAAUCUAUAUGUUUUAUUUACUUAAUAAAUACAUUGAGUACCUACUGUGAACCAGGUACUGGGGAUACACAGAUACAAAAUCUACAGUAGAACAGAUCCCUGCCCUUAAUGAGAUGUAUAUUCAAAUGGAAAUACAUUUGUCUAUCAUAAUAAUAGAAAAAUAUAAGGAGCAGUAUCUAUGGCCAUUUGGGUAGUUUUCAAACUUGAGUUCCUCAGCAUCUACCCUUGUUCUGGGACCACUAGUGGUAUUGUGGUUGUGUGUGUUUUAAGCCAUUUCCCAAUGAUUUUUGUUAUAACUGUACCUGCAUUUAAAAAAAAAUUGUAAUAGUUUAGUCCUGAUAGAGCAUCACCAACUAUACCAUCUGGCUAUACAGAGUCAUUAGAUUUCUCCACAAGAUAGAUGUCACUUUUUUUUUUUUUUUUUUUGUCUUUUGUCUUUUUUGUGUUGUUGUUGUUGUUGUUGUUGCUAUUUCUUGGGCCGCUCCCGCGGCAUAUGGAGGUUCCCAGGCUAGGGGUUGAAUCGGAGCUGUAGCCACCGGCCUACGCCAGAGCCACAGCAACGCGGGAUCCGAGCCGCGUCUGCGACCUACGCCACAGCUCACGGCAACACCAGAUCGUUAACCCACUGAGCAAGGGAAGGGACCGAACCCGCAACCUCAUGGUUCCUAGUCGGAUUCGUUAACCACUGCGCCACGACGGGAACUCCAGAUGUCACAUUUUGUGAUGUACAUUUUCAAAGUUGUGAGAGUUCAAAGAAGCAAGAGUGUACUGUGAUUAGGGUGUUGAGUUGGCCUCCUAGAAAGUGCCUGUCUAGAGCGGAAGUGUCGGGAUCUUGUAAUGUUACAAGCAAUUGAGAGCCAAUUAUUGGGACUGAGUACAGGAGAGAGAGUCAGGUAUUUAUCCUGUCUUUACAAACUACACCUCAGGAUAACUGGUUGUGAGGGAGAUUUUCUCAUUAUAAAGUAAUUCCAUGCAUAAAAAAACGGAUGGUAUGAUAGAAAUAGGACAUCAGCGUUGUGUAGCAGCUAAAGAAAUAAUCAAGCUAAGCCUCCACAGUGGCUGUUUAAACUGUUAAGUGAGUGCUGGUGGGGAGCGAUUUAAUGCAUGGAUCUGGUUAUAACGCCUGAAUCCACUGAUCAGUCUUAAUAGUACAAAAACAGACAAGUAAGGUUCUGUGCCUCCUGAGGUCCUGCCUUAGAAACGCAGAACACCAUCUGCGAAGUUCAAAUAAUUGAACUUUAUUCUCCUCAAACUUUUUUUUUUUUUUUUUAGGGCCACACCCUCAGAAUAUGGAAGUUCCCAGGGUAGGGGUCAAAUCGGAGCUGUAGUUGCCAGCCUACACCUUAGAAACGCAGGAUCCGAGGUACACUGCAGCUCACGGCAACACCGGAUCCCUGACCCACCGAGGGGGACCAUGCAUCAAACCUGCAUCCUCCUGGAUACUCUUCAGGUUUUUUACCACUAAGCCGUGAUGGGAACUCCUCCUCAAACUUUUGAUCUAACCACCAGUUAUAAGAAAUGUAAGAUGCAAAGGAACAUGAUAAACUACCACAGGAUGCAACUGGCAAAAUCCACACUGGAAAAUUCCAAAAUGACUUGAUCUUUUUAAAAAAUGUAAACUGCAAGGAAAAAGACGGAAUAUUGAGUAUAGUUCCCUGUGCUAACCCCAAACUCCCACUCUGUCCCCUUCCCCCUUGACAACCACAAGUCUAUUCUCUAUCUCUGUGAGUCUCUUUCUCUUCUGUAUAUAGGUUUAUUGUACUAUAUUUUAGAUUCCACAUACAAGUGAUAUCAUACGGUAUUUGUCUUUCUUUUUUGUUUUUUAGGGCCGUACUAGCGGCAUAUGGAAGUUCUCAGGCUAGGGGUCAAAUUGGAGUUAUAACCGAUGGCCUAUGCUGCAGCCACAGCAAUGCAGGAUCCGAGCCUUGUCUGUGAACUACACCACAGCUCACAGCAAUGCCAGAUUUCCAGACCCACUGAGUGAGGCCAGGGAUCGAACCUGCAUACUCAUAGAUACUUGUCGGAUACGUCUCAGCUGAGCCAUGACAGGAACUCCAUUCUUUUUCAUGGCUGAGUAGUAUUUGAUUCUGUGUACACGUGUACACACACAUAUAUGUAUACCGUAUUUUCUGUGUCCAUUCAUCUGUUCAUGGACAUUCAGGUUAUUUCCGUGUCUUGCAUAUAUUGUAAACAGUGCUGCAAUGAAUGUAGGUGUGCAUGUGUCCUUUCGAAUUACAGUUUUGUCUGGGUAUAUGCCCAGGGUAGGAUUGCUGGAUCAUAUGGCAACUCUUGUUUUUAGUUUUUGAGAAACCUUCAUGCUAUUUUCCAUAGUGGCUGCACCAGUUUACAUUCUCACCAAGAGUAUAAGAUGCUUCCCUUUUCUCCAACUUAUCAUGUAUAGACUUUUUAAUAAUGGCUAUUCUGACCGGUGUGAGGUGGUACCUCAUUGUAGUUUUGAUUUAAAAAAUUACAGCUCUUGUAAUAAUUCACUAUAGCUUUCUGAUAUACAUACAGCGUAAGAAAUAGCAUGAUUAUUAACAUGUCACAUUAAAACCAACAAGAGCUUAUAUAUCAGCAAGAUGUGGAGAAUAAUGAUCUUUAUAUACUUUCUCUUUUUCUCUGGUGCUUCUCUUCUGGUCCCUCUGUAUCCACACAGACUUUUUUCUUUAUAGUUGAAGGAAAAACCUUUGUGAAUUAAGAGCUUUAUCUUCAAAUGUUCCAUAUGAAGACAUGACUGGUGUCAAUAUCUGAUUCCUUCAUACCUGUAACUGAAAACUCUCUGAUUAGCACCUCAGAUGUUCUGUGCUGAGAUCAUUACUUGGUGGACUCUUGAAGGUGAUUUCCAGCCUCACUCUCAUGUCUUUUUCUUAAUUAAUAGCUCACCAAUUAUGACUUUUAUUUUUCUGUAUCAUUCAUCUUAUUAGCUCAAGUAUCACCUUGUAUAUUCAGUCUAUUCUGUUUGCUUUUUAAAAAUUGGGAUAUACUUGACAUUCGUUUCAGGUGUUCAACAAAAUGAUUUGAUAUUUGUAUGUACUGUGAAAUGAUCACCACAGUAACUCUAGGUAACAUCCAUCACCAUUUAUAAAUUUUUUUCGUGCGAUGAGGACUUUCAGUAUCUACUCUUAGCAACUGUCAAAUGUGCAGUAUAGUAUUAUUAACUGCAGUCAACAUGCUGAACAUUACAUCUUCAUGAUCGCUUUACUUUAUAAUUGGAAGUUUGUACUUUUUGACCCCUUCACCCAUUUUGCCAUCCUCCCACCUCCUGCCCCUGGCAACCGCUAGUCUGUUCUCUGAAUCUGUGACUUAGUUUUUGUCUUUUUUUUUAAUUUAGAUUUUACAUAUAAGUGAGAUCAUGUGGUAUUUAUCUUUCUCUGUUUUAUUUUACUUAACAUAAUGGCCUCAAGGUCCAUCCGUGUUGUUACACAUGGCAAGAUUACAUUCUUUUUUAUGGCUGAAUCAUAUUCCAUUAUAUAUAUACAUCACCUAUUUAUCCAUACAUCAGUCUUGAGUUCCCAUUGUAGCUCAGCGGAAAUGAAUCUGACUAGCAACCAUGAGGACGCAGGUUCGAUCCUUGGCUUCACUCAAUGGGUUAAGGAUCCGACAUUGCUGUGAGCUGUGGUGUCGAUCGAAGACACAGCUCGGAUCUGAUGUUGCUGUGGCUGUGGUGUAGGCUGGUGGCUGUAGGCCUGAUUUGACCCUUAGCCUGGGAACCUCCAUAUGCUGCAAUUGCGG
rnacentral:lncRNA from 1 species